GCCACUGUGGCUCAGUGGUAGAGCAGCUGAUUCGUAAUCAGCAGGUCAGCGGUUCAAAUCCGCUCAGUGGCUCCA
rnacentral:tRNA from 1 species